UUGGAGGGCAAGUCUGGUGCCAGCAGCCGCGGUAAUUCCAGCUCCAAUAGCGUAUAUUAAAGUUGUUGCAGUUAAAAAGCUCGUAGUUGAAUUUCGGAAUCCAUCCAUCGGUCGGGCCUCACGGUCCGCACUGGUGUGAUGGAUUUCUACCUUCUGAAUAACCAGCAUGUCAUUAAUUUGGUGCGUUGGGGAAGCAGGACUGUUACCUUGAAAAAAUUAGAGUGCUUAAAGCAGGCUAGUGCCUGAAUACAUUAGCAUGGAAUAAUGAAAUAGGACGGCAUGGUUCUAUUUUGUUGGUUUCUAGGAUCACCGUAAUGAUUAAUAGGGAUAGUUGGGGGCAUUAGUAUUCAAUUGUCAGAGGUGAAAUUCUUGGAUUUAUUGAAGACUAACUUCUGCGAAAGCAUUUGCCAAGGAUGUUUUCAUUAAUCAAGAACGAAAGUUAGGGGAUCGAAGACGAUCAGAUACCGUCGUAGUCUUAACCAUAAACUAUGCCGACUAGGGAUCGGACGAUGUAAUUUUUUAAUGACUCGUUC
rnacentral:rRNA from 1 species